AUAUAUAUAUAGAGAGAGAGAGAGACAGAGAGAGAGAGAGAGAGAGAGAGAGCUAGGCUCCUAUGCUUUCGAAAAUAUGGAGGUCUCCGUGCUUAUAAGUUGUUUCCAAUGAUGGGACGUCCGAUUCGGCGAUCGGUUCUGUUAAAAAUGAUCUACGCUAUUGGAACUAUCUAGAAAUCAAAUUUCAUAAUUUUUUGACUUCGUUUGUCUAGUGAACGAGGAGCCUCAAAAUGAACGGCUGAAAAUAAAAAUCUCAUAAAAAAUAAUGGUAAAUGACUUAAAUUUCAAAUCGGAAGUAUUGUUUUUACUCUUGAUGUUAAGUAGAAUUUUCUAUUAAAGUUUCAUAUAAUUUGGAUAGUUCUACACCGUUGAACUUAAAAACAUGCCACAUCGGCCGUUAAAAUAAUCAUUUUUGAGACCCUGUGAUCGCUUGGUAAAUGAUGUCGAAAAAUUAUAAAAUUUGGUUUCUAAAUAGUUCCAAUAGCAUAGAUUAUGCCUACCGGAGCCGAUCAUCGAAUCGGAUGUCCUAUCAUCGAAAACAACUUACAAAUACGGAGGCAUCCGUACUUUCGAAAGCAAGGGAGAUGUACUAUAUAUAUAUAUAUAUAUNAUUUUACAAUUAUUUUAUAAAUUUAAAUAUUUAUUAGGGACCAAUUCAAGACAGAGGAUUUGAUAGGAGCGUUCAAUUUUUUUCACCGCACCCAUCCCGAAACGAUUUAAAGUUUUUUUAAAAAAACUAUCUUUUUUUACUACUUCCAAUCCCAUCCUAAAACGAUUUCAACUUAGUUAAAAAAAAAAGAAAACUUCAAAUAUUCCUCUUAUGGUUUCCCAUUUUCUCACUUUAGUACUCUAUGAUUUAAAGUGUAUCAAGUUAGUACUAUGUGGUUUUACAUUUUUUCACUUUAGUACCCUAUAAUUUAAAGUGUAUCAAGUUAGUAUCCUAUGAUUUCGCACUUUAUCACUUUAGUACUCUGUGAUUUCGCACUUUAUUUAAAACCACUGGGAGUAUAACUUGAUACAAAAAUAAAAUCAGAGAGUACUAACUUGAUACACUUUAAACCACAGGGUACUAAAGUGAUAAAGUGAGAAAUCAUAUGGUACUAAUUUGAUACACUUUAAAUUAUAGAGUACUAAAAUGAAAAAGUGCGAAACUACAGGGUACUCUAUAGUUUUUUUUUUUUUUCAUCAACGCAUCUGUUAACUCUUUGUAAAAUCAUAUACAAAAAAAUUUCAGAUACCGAAUUUUCACUUCAGUAUUAUGUAGUUUUAAUUUUAUCACUAAUUUAAUGAAAAAAUUAAUGAAGAAGAUAACGGAAGAAGAAAAAUGAAACUUCAGAAUACGAAAGUAAUAUAUUUUAAACUAAAAAAUACUAAAAUAAAAAAAAUACAAAUUACAAAAAUGAUAUUUGAAAUUUUUUAAAAAGAAAGUUAUUCUCCUUUACUGCUUCCAACCGGACGGAUUGGAUUGCGACGAGUGCUCUGCCGACCCGACAACGUUUGCAUUCCCCGCAUUCAACACUCAAUUAAAAAAAAAAAAAAAACGUUUAACCACAAGCUGGUGGGACCCCCGAUGUUACGAGACGAGGGAGGGAGACGCGGUUCAGAAGUUUUCGAUUCAUUGUCGCACAUCAGUUCUGAUUCAAUUUAUAUAUUAUAAUUAUCUUUUUAAAAUAGAAAAUAAUAUUUUUAAGUUUUAAUAUUAAAAAGUUUAAUAAAUUUUUAAAUAAAAAAUAAAAUUAAUAAUAUAAUAUUAAGGAAAAACUUCAAAAUACUCUCUCUGUGGUUUCACUUUUUCUCACUUUAGUACCCUGUGGUUUAAAGUGUAUCAAGUUAGUACUCUAUGAUUUUGCAGUUUUUCACUUUAUUAUCCUGUAGUUUAAAGUGUAUCAAGUUAGUAUCCUGUGAUUUCGCACUUUCUCACUUUAGUACCCUGUGGUUUAAAAACCAUAGGUUACUAACUUGAAACAAAAAUAAAACCGCAUGUACUAAGUUGAUACAAAAUAAAAUCACAGAAUACUAACUUGAUAUAUUUUAAACCACAGAAUAUUAAAGUGAGAAAGUGUGAAAUCACGGGAUACUAACUUGAUACACUUUAAACCAUAGAGUACUAAAAAUAUAAAAGUACAAAAUCACAGAAAGAAUUUUUGAAAUUUUUUCUAGGGAAAACUUCAAAAACCCCCCCUGUGGUUUCGUGCAUUCUCACUUUGCUACCCUGUGGUUUAAAACGUAUCAAUUUACCCCCAUGUGGUUUCAUUUUUAUCUUUUCGGAAGCUUUUUCGUUAAUAUUUCGUUAAAUUAUAUACAAAAAACUUCAGAUAACCAUCUAUAUUUAUCGAAUAGUCACUUUAGUAUCCUUUAAUUUUAACUUUGUCACUGAUUUAAAAAAAAAUAAUAAUAAAAUUGAUAACAAAAAGAUAAAAACGAAACCACAGGGGGGCAAAUUGAUACGUUUUAAACCACAGGGUAGCAAAGUGAGAAUGCACGAAACCACAGGGGGGGUUUUUGAAGUUUUCCCUUUUUUCUGAUAUUAAAUU
rnacentral:lncRNA from 1 species